CCACAUUCUUUUCUCUCUCUCUAGAUUGUGUACUUUGCAUGAUCUAUUCUUAACUUCAAACUUCAAAUAACAGUAACACAUAAACAGCAUAAAUAUUUUGGGUUGAAGAUCCUUCAAUUCAGGAUUCAAGAACAAUAACAACAAGUUGAUCGAACUCCACGUACUGCAAACUUGGAGGACUCCAUGACCUGUCGCCUGCAUAGAAUGGAAGAAAACCGUGGAUAUGGAAGUGUUUUAUGUAAGUGGUCUAGACAACCCGAGUCGGAGGCUGAGCUUAAGGAAUGACAGGAAUUUCUAGAUGUUCUCAACACGGUGAUGCUUUCCAAUGAGAAUGAUUCGUGGUCUUGGAACGAUGGCAAUCGAGAUGGUUUCUCAUUGAAGGCCGU
rnacentral:lncRNA from 1 species